rnacentral:misc_RNA from 1 species
CAUUCUCCGCCACUCCGAGCUUUAAUCAAUGGCGGCUUCAACAGCUGUUUCCAGUUCCAUCACCACCUUCAAAUCCUCUUCGUUCCAACCACGCGCCUCCUCUAUGAAUCCUCUCCCUUCCGUCAAAUUCCCAUCAAUAUCCUCCCAUAAUCCAUUAAUCUCCCAUUCCGUCUCAGCUCCGAAAAACUACACUGUCGCACCUCUCCGUUCCGCCGCCGCCUCUACUACACCGGAAACUACCAAGACUGCCACCACAUUUCACGGCCUCUGCUACGUUCUCGGAGACAAUAUCGACACUGACCAAAUCAUCCCAGCAGAAUACCUAACCCUUGUACCUUCAAAUCCAGAUGAGUACAAGAAACUCGGGUCGUAUGCUCUAUGUGGACUUCCCUCAUCGUACCAAACCCGUUUCGUCGAACCAGGUGAAUUGACGUCAAAGUACUCCAUCGUCAUAGGUGGUGACAACUUUGGAUGCGGAUCAUCGCGUGAGCACGCGCCGGUUGCUCUGGGGGCAGCUGGUGUAUCGGCAGUGGUGGCGGAGUCGUAUGCGAGGAUCUUUUUCAGGAAUUCAGUUUCGACUGGUGAAGUCUAUCCGCUUGAAUCGGAAAAGAGAAUAUGUGAGGAGUGUAAGACUGGUGAUGUGGUGACCGUUGAAAUUGGAGAGAGUAGGUUGAUUAAUCAUACAACUGGAAAAGAGUAUAAAUUGAAGCCUAUUGGUGAUGCUGGUCCUGUCAUUGAAGCUGGUGGCAUUUUCGCUUAUGCAAGAAAGGCUGGAAUGAUUUCUGCACGAGAAGCUUAGUUUUCCAAGUGGUAAUUGACUCAGUUCUUUUUAAAGUUUGUACUUUAAAGAUUAUUAUUGCAUAAUAAAUAUGGUGUUUGUUGUGUUUUGUUUCAGUAUUAAUCGAUGUAUAAACUACAUACGAAUAUAGUUGGGUUGACUCUAUAUGAUCUGGAG